rnacentral:tRNA from 1 species
GCCAAGGUGGCGUAGCCCGGAGCCAGCAAAACUGUGGAAAUUUCCCGGUGGCAGGUAGGAACGCACCAGUUUAAUCGAGAUGCUCGAGAUAGGUGAAACUGAAGAUCUGGGUACCGUGGGUUCAAAUCCCACCCUUGGCA